rnacentral:rRNA from 1 species
CCAAGGCGACGACGGGUAGCCGGCCUGAGAGGGCGACCGGCCACACUGGGACUGAGACACGGCCCAGACUCCUACGGGAGGCAGCAGUGGGGAAUAUUGCACAAUGGGCGAAAGCCUGAUGCAGCGACGCCGCGUGAGGGAUGACGGCCUUCGGGUUGUAAACCUCUUUCAGCAGGGAAGAAGCGAAAGUGACGGUACCUGCAGAAGAAGCGCCGGCUAACUACGUGCCAGCAGCCGCGGUAAUACGUAGGGCGCAAGCGUUGUCCGGAAUUAUUGGGCGUAAAGAGCUCGUAGGCGGCUUGUCACGUCGGAUGUGAAAGCCCGGGGCUUAACCCCGGGUCUGCAUUCGAUACGGGCUAGCUAGAGUGUGGUAGGGGAGAUCGGAAUUCCUGGUGUAGCGGUGAAAUGCGCAGAUAUCAGGAGGAACACCGGUGGCGAAGGCGGAUCUCUGGGCCAUUACUGACGCUGAGGAGCGAAAGCGUGGGGAGCGAACAGGAUUAGAUACCCUGGUAGUCCACGCCGUAAACGUUGGGAACUAGGUGUUGGCGACAUUCCACGUCGUCGGUGCCGCAGCUAACGCAUUAAGUUCCCCGCCUGGGGA